UACAGAAUUUCUAUUUAAAGAAGGAGGAAAAAAAAAAAAAAACCAAAUCUCUCAACUUUUACUUACAGCUCUCUUCCGCAAGGAUCAAGAGGGCUGCACUAAUUGACUGAGGGUCUCCCUAAGUUGCUGAGACUCAAACUUAUGAUCCUCCUGCUUCAGCCUCCCGAGUCACUGGAAUAACAGAGGUUUCAGUCCAUGGUCACUUGACCCCAUCAUUAGAAUCCAAUGGUGCAACAGAAUAUCAUGGUGUGAAUACAUGGCAGAGAAGAGCUGCUCAUCUCAUGGGAACUAGGAAGGAGAGAGAGGGCUGUGGUCACAGAAUACUCAUCAGGAGAACACUCGUGUGACUGAUUUCCUCCAACUAGGCCCCACCUGCUAAAAUUUCUACUGCCUCCCAACAGUGCCACAAGUUGGGGACCAAGCCCUCACCACAUGAGACUUUGGGGGAUAUUCCAGAUAUGGACCAUAAAGUGGAUGGUGUCCUGAUAAGAAAAGGGAAUACAGACACACAAAGAGGGAAGGUCCUGUGAUGAUAGGGAGAAUACCAUCAUCGAUAGGCCAAGAAGAGAGGCCUUAGAAGAAACCAAGCCUGCUGACACCUUGAUCUUGGACAUCCAGCCUCCAGAACUGUAGGAAAAUAGAUGUCUGUUGUUUAAACCACCUUGCAAACUAAUAUGGGGAGAAAAAGCUUGAGACUUUUGGGAAACCAAAAGUAGUAUUGAGAAUCCUGUUAUGUGGUGCCAAUCUUAAUUCUAUCCAAAAUUCUAGGUAGCAUUAAGUGAUUCAUCAAUAAAAUUACUUAGUACAGCUA